ncrna:unclassified sequences RAGATH-18 RNA
UCUGUGGAGAGUACAAAAAAUGUGAGUAGUAUCUAGAUUUAUUUAGUACGAAAGCAUACUCGAUGAAANAAAUA